AUGUGCCCAUUUUCACAGUUCCUCGUGGCGCUGGCGCUGGCGGUGGCGCUUCUCCCCGUCAUCGGCGCCGCCGCCGGCGACCGCGGGACGCGCUACGCCGGCGUCUUCAGCUUCGGCGACUCGCUCACCGACACCGGGAACUCGCUGCAUCUCGCGGCCACCCGCGCGGGGCCGUCCAGCCGGCCGCCCUACGGCGAGACCUUCUUCCGGCGCCCCACUGGCCGGGCGUCCGACGGCCGCCUCGUCGUCGACUUCAUCGCUGAGGCGCUGGGGGUACCGCACCCGACGCCGUACCUCGCCGGCAAGAGCGCAGAGGAUUUUCGGCGCGGCGUGAACUUUGCCGUCGGUGGAGCGACGGCGCUUGGCCCGGAUUUCUUCGAGAGCAGAGGGCUUAAGCCGUUUGUGCCUGUCUCUUUCACAAACCAAGCCACCUGGUUCAAGAACGUUUUGCAGCUUCUUGGCUCAGUUCACAACCGUACGAGGAUCAUGGCGACCUCGCUCUUCAUCGUCGGCGAGAUUGGAGUUAACGAUUACCUCGUCGCCUUUGCCGGGAACACCACCGUCGAGGAGGCGCGGGCCUUCGUGCCGCACAUCGUCGGCGCCGUCCGUUCAGUCGUGACCGAGGUGAUCGCCGCCGGAGCGAGGACCGUACUGGUCCCCGGGAUGAUACCGCUCGGCUGCGAGCCACAGCUGCUCGCCCUCUACCAGAGCGGCGACCACGACCCGGCGUCCGGCUGCAUCAAGCCGCUCAACAACCUCGCCGAGCUGCACAACCGCGCGCUGAACGGCAUGCUCCGGGAGCUCCGGCGAGCGCACCCGGGGACGGCCAUCCUCUACGCCGAUCUCUACGGCGCCGUCGCCGAUCUCAUCGUUUCGCCCCGGAAAUACGGGUUUAGGGAUGAGCCGCUGGCGGCGUGCUGCGGCGGGAGCGGCGUGUACAACUUCAACAUGACGGCGUUCUGCGGCGCGGCCGGGACGGCGGCGUGCGCCGACCCGUCUGAGUACGUGUCCUGGGACGGGGUGCACUUCACGGAGGCCGCCAAUAGGCACACGGCCUGCGCCACGUUGAAGGCCAACUCGCCUGCUCUGCUCAGCUCGUGGACGGCGGAGGCGAGACGAAGGAUUGGGUGCGCCUAA
rnacentral:rRNA from 1 species